rnacentral:lncRNA from 1 species
UGUUAUGGCAGUUCAAUUUAUAUAUGUAUGCAUGAUGUAUUUUCGGCUAUGCCCACUGAGUAUUUUUAUACUCAGCCCUGCAUGUAUUUCUAAAUGUGCAGGUUGAGCAGUUGAUUGAAUGGAAUGAUGUUGAGCGGGUGUUCCUUUGACAUUUCAAGAAAUGUAACCUUGAGUAUACAUCUUCAUAUGUAUAUCUCACACGUUUUCCGCUGCAAAACACUUUGAUUAGGAUAACUUUAUGUUAUGAAAUUGUGACACGUGUUAUUGGGUAACCCACCUUAAUCAGUUCUCAUUUAUGUGUAUGUUUUAUAAGUAUCCAAAUAAUCAUAUAUGAUCCCAGC